UACGGGGGGUGCGAGCGUUGUCCGGAAUCACUGGGCUUAAAGGGCGCGUAGGCGGGCUGUCAAGUCUGGGGUGAAAUCCCGCGGCUCAACCGUGGAACUGCCUCAGAUACUGACGGUCUCGAGGGGGAUAGGGGCGAGCGGAACUGUGAGUGGAGCGGUGAAAUGCGUUGAUAUUCACAGGAACUCCGGUGGCGAAGGCGGCUCGCUGGAUCUCUUCUGACGCUGAGGCGCGAAAGCUAGGGGAGCAAACGGG
rnacentral:rRNA from 1 species